AACCGUGGCGACCUCUGUUCAUCUACAUCUCAGACGGAGGAGAGGUAGCUGACGGCGUGAGCAUCAGGAAAUUAAUCUGUGUCGGUAGCGGAUGUGGGAGGGAGCAGACGGAGAAGCCACUGACUCUGACUAGAGAGCGGCCGGAGUGAAAGUUGUUGAAAGCGGGAGCGGGAGCCUUACCAAACUGGGCUGGCAAGGCGUCGUCGCAGGUUGCCGGUUCGCCGCUGCCAGCGAAGCACUCACCUCGCCGUCGUCCUCCGGCUGCCGUUCCUGCGGUCAUAUGUGACGCCUUACCUGCAGUUCUCCUCGUCCCUCACGCCUCAACUCCCGCACCUCUGAGUCUCGAUGGAGGACCGCCUCUUCGAUAAGUCCCUGAACCCGAAUAAGCUUUUGAAGGAACAAUUCGUCAGCAACUUGACGGGGUCUUCCCUGCUGGAGAUCGCGGCGCUCUCCACCGUCGUGCCGGCAUUGGUAGUUCUCAGAAAGUGGAGCAGCAGAGAUAAUUCUAGGAAGGAUUCAGCAAAGAAAAACGAUGAUCAAGUUCACCCUGUUGGUAAAGAUUGGAUGCAAUACUUCUCUACACUAGCUGUAGACUAUCUCACUGUUGUAUUGCCAAUUAUUGUGGUUUUCACAGUCUUAUCUGAAUGGGCUUUUGGUUGUGCUAUUUCUCUUGCAAUCCUGAUAUACAUCUACGUCAUGUUUAAAAGGCCUCAGCUUUAUCUUAAAGAUGGGUUCAGCCAGUUGCCUUCGAUGAGGGCAGACAUAUCUUCUUACCGUGUCUCAGUGGUUCUGGUGACAUGUUUGUGCAUUUUAGCUGUGGACUUCAAAAUAUUUCCAAGACGCUAUGCCAAGGCUGAAACAUAUGGUAGUGGCAUCAUGGAUCUUGGAGUAGGAUCAUUUGUAGUGGCUAAUGCACUGGUAUCUAGACAAGCACGAAACAUAGCCUCAAUGAGUUUCAAGGCGGCUCUGAGUUCCAUAAGUCCACUAGUAUUUCUUGGCUUUGCUCGCAUUAUAUCCACAUGGGGUGUUGAUUAUCAGGUCCAUGUAGGAGAAUAUGGUGUUCAUUGGAACUUCUUUUUCACCCUCGCAGCUGUUUCUAUCCUUACAUCCAUUGUCAGGAUUCAUCCAAAACAUUGUGGCUUAGUUGGUCUGCUUAUCCUUGCUGGAUACCAGAUUUGGCUAUCUUCUGGAUUAAAUGAGUACCUCAUUUCUGAUAAAAGAAGUGCUGAUAUAAUCAGCCAGAAUAAGGAGGGCAUUUAUAGCAUCCUUGGAUACUGGGGUAUGUUUCUAAUUGGUGUUUCUUUGGGUUUCUAUCUGUUUUUUGACACUAGUUCAAAGGGCAAGAACAGGAACACUCAAGUCAUGAAAAUCUGGGUUCUUGCUGCGUUGUUUUGGAUUUUGGCAAUCAUCUUUGAUAGCUAUAUUGAGAGAGUUUCUCGGCGAAUGGAGGUCACCUGAAUUAAGUCUUUUGUUACUCAAAGGAAGACCCAGUGCAACUUUGCUUAUGUUAUGCUUGUUUUUGGCCAGAAUUUUCAGGUUUUAUGUAUCCUCACAUUAGCUGGGUUCGUCUCAUAUAAAAAGAACUUGGUUCUUGAAGAUGCAUUCAAUCAAAAUAUGCUCGGUUCAUUCCUUCUGGCAAAUAUCCUUACUGGUCUGGUUAAUCUCUCAGUUAACACGCUCUCUGCUUCUUCCCUCACCGCCUUCAUGAUUCUGUCAGUAUACACCUUUGCUUUAUGCAUGGUUACUGGCCUUAUCCAUUUUUGUGGUGUUAGAAUGAAAUUCUGGUGAAUUGUAAGCUACCAUUUGAUAUGAUGUAUGCAUUCAUUAACUUGUCAGCGAACUAGUAGCUAGCUUGCUUGAAAUAUAAUGAUUUUUAGGGGGGGGGGGGGGGAAAUAAGGCAGAUUGGUAUCCUACUACGUGAUGCAGAUGACCUGACGUAUCCCACUGACGACCUAGCUGGAGGUGCGUGGGCAUUCGGCCCUCUUUCCGCGUGGCGUUUCUUCGUGCCUGAGGCGACGACGGUUUGGCACCGGCUCUCUGCCGUCGAGAGAGAAUGGCACCAGCCACCAGCUCGUGUCACCACUGCCGGCAUAGGUGGUCUGUUCCUCUUCAGCUCGCUGCUUAUUUAAGAAACCGUGACAGAGAAUGCCUUUGACCUUAAAUCUGUUGAACCAAUGUACCGGGGGAGGAGGUAACCAGUGCAUCAGUACUCCGGCCCCUCAGCUCCACUUCAGAUCAGAUCUCCUGAAUUGCACGUUUGAGAUCGAGAUCUAUCAGGCCAUGCUAAGAGAGUAAGAGGUGAUCAAAUGACAGUACUGAAAAGUGUAGCAACAACCACGCUUGCUUGUGUGUGAUGGUGGAGUGAGAGACAAGGAGAGCUGGAUCCACCACCCUGUCCUCUGGAGACUUGAUGAGUCGGACGCAUCAAAUUGCGUUGCGUGAUCGGACGGGUCCAAAUGGUAUUAACUCGCAGCCCAUGGAUUGCGAGCCUUCAUGGAAUGGUUUCCGGAUCACGAUGGAUCAAUCGUUCAUCGCUGACGAACUAGUACGUGGUAUUUGUAUUGCACCGACCUUGUGUGGCCCAUAGUACUACUUCCUUUAACUUGUUUUCGGUACUCUCGUUUCUGAAAUUGAUGUUGCUAGGUUAUUCUAAUCGGUCAAAUUUUCAUAAGUUCAACUAGAUUUAUAAUAUUUCAUGUUUUAUAA